rnacentral:tRNA from 1 species
GAGCCGUUAGCUCAGUCGGUAGAGCAACAGCCUUUUAAGCUGUGGGUCGAUGGUUCGAAUCCAUCACGGCUCACCA